UAUCUAGUCUGAGUCCCUUCAUAAUCACAUGAAGCAUGAUUGGCACUAUCUCGCCCAGUCUCAACCUUCUACUCCUUUUCUUCUACUAUCAUAUGAGUUCUUUCAAUGACAAUGCUAGUGUCAGUUUGGAUCUUGAAAUUCUCCAUUCCUCUCAGGUUCUGGGUUUCUGGAUAAAGUGCCACUCACUCACUUACUCAAUCAGUCAAAAAAUAGUUUGAUGGCAGUUACUAGGUGUGAGACGGUAGUGAUACAAAGGAGAUCACAGUCUGCCAGCUGAUAAUUACAGCACAAAUAGCAAAGUGCCACAGUGGAGAGUUGUAAGUGCUGUGGGAUGGUAGAAGAUUCUCUCAAGUCUGUCCCGGGAAGUCAGCGACAACUUCAUGCGAUCUGAGAGCCCAAGGACAGUUUAUACUCCGUCACUGGACGAAUUAAGAUCACUUAUAUAGGAAGAGCUUAUAUGGAACAGAUUCUAAUUUACCUGUGACCCAGGUUAAGAAAUAGAACACAGCUACACACAGAAGCUCCAAGAAGCUCCAUGUGCUUCCUGAUUACAUCCCUCUCCCCCUAGUAGAGAUUCUGCAUAUAUAUGUUGCUUACAAGAGACUCACUUCAGAUCAAAACACACGCAGACUGAAAAUAGAAGGAUGGAAAAAGAUACGUCAUGCCAAUGGGAACGGAAAAAGCUGGGGUAGUAAUACUUAAAUCAGACAAAAUAGACUUUUAAACAAAAGUUAUAAUAACA